rnacentral:rRNA from 1 species
AGUUUGAUCCUGGCUCAGGAUGAACGCUAGCGGCAGGCUUAACACAUGCAAGUCGAGGGGUAACAGGAAGGAGCUUGCUUCUUCGCUGACGACCGGCGCACGGGUGCGUAACACGUAUGCAACUUACCUCUAACAGGGGGAUAGCCCAGAGAAAUCUGGAUUAAUACCCCAUAACAUUGCGGAUUCACCUGAUUCUGCAAUUAAAGCUCCGGCGGUUAGAGAUAGGCAUGCGGCCCAUUAGUUUGUUGGUAAGGUAACGGCUUACCAAGACUACGAUGGGUAGGGGUUCUGAGAGGAUGACCCCCCACACUGGUACUGAGACACGGACCAGACUCCUACGGGAGGCAGCAGUGAGGAAUAUUGGACAAUGGGCGCAAGCCUGAUCCAGCCAUGCCGCGUGCAGGACGACGGCCCUACGGGUUGUAAACUGCUUUUAUAAGGGAAGAAACUUCCGCUCGUGAGCGGAACUGACGGUACCUUACGAAUAAGCACCGGCUAACUCCGUGCCAGCAGCCGCGGUAAUACGGAGGGUGCAAGCGUUAUCCGGAUUUAUUGGGUUUAAAGGGUCCGUAGGCGGGUCUUUAAGUCAGUGGUGAAAGCCUGCAGCUUAACUGUAGAAUUGCCAUUGAUACUGGAGACCUUGAGUACACUUGAAGUAAGCGGAAUGUGUCAUGUAGCGGUGAAAUGCUUAGAUAUGACCCAGAACACCGAUCGCGAAAGCAGCUUACUAAAUUGUCACUGACGCUGAGGGACGAAAGCGUGGGGAGCGAACAGGAUUAGAUACCCUGGUAGUCCACGCCGUAAACGAUGAUCACUCGAUAUUGGCCUCCGGGCCAGUGUCCAAGCGAAAGUAUUAAGUGAUCCACCUGGGGAGUACGAUCGCAAGAUUGAAACUCAAAGGAAUUGACGGGGGCCCGCACAAGCGGUGGAGCAUGUGGUUUAAUUCGAUGAUACGCGAGGAACCUUACCAGGGCUUAAAUGCAGGACGACCGGUCUGGAAACAGACCUUUCUUCGGACGGUUUGCAAGGUGCUGCAUGGUUGUCGUCAGCUCGUGCCGUGAGGUGUCGGGUUAAGUCCCAUAACGAGCGCAACCCCUAUCUUUAGUUGCCAGCGGGUUAAGCCGGGGACUCUAAAGAAACUGCCAGCGUAAGCUGUGAGGAAGGUGGGGAUGACGUCAAAUCAUCACGGCCCUUACGUCCUGGGCUACACACGUGCUACAAUGGCGGAGACAGUGAGAUGCAAACUCGUGAGGGUGAGCAAAUCUAAAAACUCCGUCUCAGUUCGGAUCGAAGUCUGCAACUCGACUUCGUGAAGCUGGAAUCGCUAGUAAUCGCGUAUCAGCAAUGACGCGGUGAAUACGUUCCCGGGCCUUGUACACACCGCCCGUCAAGCCAUGGAAGCUGGGGGUGCCUGAAGUCGGUCACCGAAAGGAGCUGCCUAGGGCAAAACUAGUAACUGGGGCUAAGUCGAAACAAGGUAGCCGUACCGGAAGGUGCGGCUGGAUCACCU